ACUAAAACUAGCCUACCCACACCAAAACCCAAGUAUAACAAACUAAAUAAAACAAAACAUUUAUACUUUAAAGUAUAGGAGAUAGAAAUUUAUUAACCAAAGCGCUAUAGAGACAGUACCGCAAGGGAAAGAUGAAAGAAAAAUUAAAAGUAUAAAAUAGCAUAGAUUUAACCUACUACCUUUUGCAUAAUGAAUUAACUAGAAAAUUUUUGACAAAAAGAACUAAAGCCAAAUCCCCCGAAACCAAACGAGCUACUUUUAAACAGCUAACAAUUGAGCAAACUCAUCUAUGUGGCAAAAUAGUGAGAAGAUUUAAAAGUAGAGGUGAAAAGCCUAUCGAGCUUGGAGAUAGCUGGUUAUCCAAACAAGAAUUUAAGUUCAACUUUAAAUCUAUCCUACAAAACCUAAAAUUCUAAAUGAAAGUUUAAAUGUUAACUUAAGGAGGGACAGCUCCUUAAAUAAGGAUACUUCCUUAGGCAAAGGGUAAAUAAUUCAAUUACCAUAGUAGGCCUAAAAGCAGCCAUCAAUUAAGAAAGCGUUCAAGCUCAACAAAAAAUCACAAUUAUAUCCCAAAAAUCAUAAUCACCCCUUGCACAAAAAUUGGAUCAAUCUAUAAAUAAAUAGAAGAGACAAUGUUAAUAUUAGUAACAAGAAAUAAUUUCUCCUAGCACAAGCCUAAGUUAUAAUUUAACCAAUUAAGCAACCUUAUAAAAAACUCUCUGACUGGCUCAUUAUUAUAAAAAUUGUUAAUCCAACCCAGGAGUGCAACAAGGAAAGACUAAAAUAAGUAAAAGGAACUCGGCAAACACAAACCCCGCCUGUUUACCAAAAACAUCACCUCUAGCAUCACAAGUAUUAGAGGCACUGCCUGCCCAGUGACAACUAAAGUUAAACGGCCGCGGUAUUCUGACCGUGCAAAGGUAGCAUAAUCACUUGUUCCUUAAAUAGGGACUCGUAUGAAUGGCUUAACGAGGGUUUAACUGUCUCUUACCUACAGUCAGUGAAAUUGACAUUCCCGUGAAGAGGCGGGGAUAAAACAAUAAGACGAGAAGACCCUAUGGAGCUUUAAUUUAUCAACUCAUUUUAUUAAGUUAAACCAAUAAGGAAUAAAAAACAAAUUAUGAGUUAAUAAUUUUGGUUGGGGUGACCUCGGAGUAAAAAUAAGCCUCCGAAUGAUAUUAGCUUAGAUCCACAAAUCAAAGCCAUGUCAUAAAUUGACCCAGAAACAUCUGAUCAACGAACCAAGUUACCCUAGGGAUAACAGCGCAAUCCUAUUAUAGAGUCCAUAUCGACAAUAGGGUUUACGACCUCGAUGUUGGAUCAGGACCCCCAAAUGGUGCAGCCGCUAUUAAAGGUUCGUUUGUUCAACGAUUAAAGUCCUACGUGAUCUGAGUUCAGACCGGAGCAAUCCAGGUCGGUUUCUAUCUAUUAAAAAUUUCUCCUAGUACGAAAGGACAAGAGAAAUUAGGCCUAUAAAUUAAUUACGCCUCAAUAGUUAAGGAAUGAUAUAAUAUUAAUUCCUUAGCUAUUAAUAAUAACCACCCGAGACAAGGGUUUG
rnacentral:rRNA from 1 species